ACGACCAAUAGUAAUAGAUAGUUUACCAAGACAAAUUACAAUCAUGUUCUCUAAGCUAUCUGAACUCUUCAUAAUCCACGCGACUCGCCAACAGAUACAGGAUUCUUUUGCGACUCUAAGAAUACAAGAAGAUGCGAGUCUAAGAUGGUCGCACAGAGCUAUUCAACAGAUACAGGAUUCUUUUGCGACUCUACUACCGUUUCCUGUAGCUAUUCUUGG
rnacentral:lncRNA from 1 species